GAUGAACGCUGGCGGCGUGCCUAAUACAUGCAAGUCGAGCGAACGGACGAGAAUCUUUCUUCUCUGAUGUUAGCGGCGGACGGGUGAUUAACACGUGGAUAACCUACCUAUAGGACUGGGAUAACUUCGGGAAACCUGAUAUAAUACCGGAUAAUAUUUUGAACCGCAUGGUUCUAAAGUGAACGACGGUCUUGCUGUCACUUAUAGAUGGUUCCGAGCUGCAUUAGCUAGUUGGUACGGUAACGGCCUACCAAGGCAACGAUGCAUAGCCGACCUGAGAGGAUGAUCGGUCACACUGGAACUGAGACACGGUCCAGACUCCUACGGGAGGCAGCAGUAGGGAAUCUUGCACAAUGGGCGAAAGCCUGACGCAGCAAUGCCGCGUGUGUGAUGAAGGUCUUCGGAUCGUAAAACUCUGUUAGUAGGGAAGAACAUAUGUGUAAGUAACUGUUGCCAUCUUGACGGUACCUACUCAGAAAGCCCCGGCUAACUUCGUG
rnacentral:rRNA from 1 species